UCUGAUUUAGCAUAUUUAUUAAUGCAUUGGAUUGUAAAUCCAUAAAAAGUUUAGACUA
rnacentral:tRNA from 1 species